rnacentral:lncRNA from 1 species
ACCUAGCCUCUCCCCACUCCCGGUGCCUGCUCUGGGGAGGGGCAAAGUUGUGGCUGAGCCCAGGCGCUGUCACGACCUGGUUGGGAGUGCACGCACUCAGGGCAGCACUGACACACUAGCCCCCUGCCGCCUCGGCAUGAACAGCAUGGGCACCAUGGAUGGCACGCUGAUGGUGGUAGGAAGCAGAAGGGCUCCUGGGCAGAAAGGGCUUGGUCUGAGGUGAAACCCCACCUUCAAGCCUGGGAUGGCCUGAGGCCUGGGGGCCGGGCUGCCAGCUCUGGGUAGUCUGUGGGUGGAGUGAGAAUUUAUGGUGCUUUUUCCGGGCCUGCUCAUGGACCAAUCAGCAUGCACUUCCUCCCUUCUGAGCCCAUAAAAACCCUGGAUUCAGCCAGACUUGGACAGAUGUCAAUACUACCAACUGUGGGAAGAAGCUACCCACUUCAGGACUCCUUGACUCCUCAGGAUGACCUGCCUACAGAAAGAAGCUACCCACUAUGGGUCUUCUCUCUGCUGAGAGCUGGAUACUCGUCAGGAUGACCUGCCUGCAGAAAGAGCUACCCACCAUGGGUCUCCUCUGAACUGUUCUGUUGCCCAAUAAAGCUCCUCUCCUUUUUGCUCACCCUCCAGCUGUCUGCAUACCUCAUUCUUCCUGGCCGCAGGACAAGAACUCGGGACCCACCGAAUGGUGGGACUGAAAGAGGUGUAACACAAAUAAGGCUGAAAUGCCCUGCCCCGCUUUCCACAUUGUGGGUGACAAGAAGAGAAGAGCUGCAGCCCUUCAGGAAGCCCAGACCUAGGAGCUCCCCGAGCCAGAGCUGUGACACCCUGUUUGGGGCUCUGUGUGGUUCUUGGUGUCCCCAAGCUUCCGGGUGCCACCGCAUUCUCCUUGUCCAGACAUGGGUGCCCGCAAUGGAAGCCGCUUGCGGUACACGUGAUCUAGCCUCACCCUUACGUGGAGCUGGUGCCUAUGCUGGCGCCUGGAGCUGCCUGCCCCACCACAGCAGUCAGCAUGCCUGGCUGGGCACAGUGGCCGGAUGCCACAUUCACUCGCUCACACACCCCUUGCCACUCCAUGCCUGGCUUGCCCUUGGCAGGCAUGGGAUCCAGGCUGGUAGCAUGAGCUAAGCGCAGCCUGCCAGGCUGAGUGAGCUGAAUGAGCCCAGCGGGAGCAAGCAAAAAUUGGGGCAAAGGUGCCACCGGCCAAAGUAGUUUCCAGCUGGAAAAGCAACACCCUAAGUUUCUUGAGAUACUAUCAUCACUGGCCCUUGAACCAGAGGUCCAGCUGCAACAGCACUGUUCCCUCCUGCCGCCAUCCUACUCUCAGG